CCAGUGCAACAGAGAGCAAACCGCCGAUGGCCCACGUAAGUGGGAUCAGGUAAGGGUGAAAGGGUGCGGUAAGAGCGCACCGCGCGGCUGGUAACAGUCCGUGGCACGGUAAACUCCACCCGGAGCAAGGCCAAAUAGGGGUUCAUAAGGUACGGCCCGUACUGAACCCGGGUAGGCUGCUUGAGCCAGUGAGCGAUUGCUGGCCUAGAUGAAUGACUGUCCACGACAGAACCCGGCUUAUCGGUCAGUUUCACUU
rnacentral:RNase_P_RNA from 1 species